UAGGAUAGGAGUUGAUUUUCGCGAUCGCAUCGCUUUUCUAGGAAGCGGGGAAAGGAAUUUACUUCCCGGAUUUGAUUAGUCGACUUCCAUAACCCAUUUGGUAGAGUAGAAGGCUAAUUUGGCCAAAGAACCGAUGAAUAAUUUGACAAUCAGUUCCGAUGGAACGGAACUGCCAUUAUUCCUUUAACCUACCUGCCUGUGAACGCUUCAAAAUUGAACGUCUUUUAAUAUCAUGGUUCAAGAGAUAAGCGUGUCGUAAACGCACUUUAUCCCGUUGAAAACAUUGCUACUGCUGAAUUAGACGAAUUUAGGAGGGUCCCACGGCUUGUCCGAAAUGUUUAUUCUAUAGUUUUGUUGUUCGGACAAGUCGUAGAGGAGAGGAAUUUCAAUUUCGCUUGCGAUGCUACUACCGCUACUACGACGGAAAUGGGGAAGAGGAGAAGGUUGAUGAAGUACUGAGUAAUAUGAGAUGGUAGAUUUCUUUAGCUUAAAUCACUGUCAAUUUUACCGUUGAACAUUCUUUAUUGCUUUAAAGUUUUCUAGUUCCGUUGCUAAGGAUAUCAGGCUGCUCCAAUAUUCUGUUGAAUUUUGUCAUAACUAUCUGCCAACCAAGUUUAAAGCGACAUGUUGACAGUUAUAGAAAUUCUAGGUGCACAUGCUGACAUGCAUAACUCAUACUAUUUUCUGUGUAUUACAAUUACAGAAUGCUACUUUUUUAAAAAGUACUAACUAAAUAGGUCAUAUAAAAUCAGUGUAUUUCGUAAAAAUACAAACGAAGACUGCACAACAUUUUCGUAAAGACCUAAUUUAAAAACCUUCAGUUAUUUGAGAAAACAACGUAGAACGCCAAACAAGAAAUUCGGCGAUGUACUUUUGGACGGAUCUCUUAAACUUCCCCUCGCUUGGA